rnacentral:tRNA from 1 species
AGAGCGUUUGACUACGGAUCAAAAGGUUAGGGGUUCGACUCCUCUCGGGCGCGCCA